CCUACGGGUGGCAGCAGUCGAGAAUCAUUCACAAUGGGGGAAACCCUGAUGGUGCGACGCCGCGUGGGGGAAUGAAGGUCUUCGGAUUGUAAACCCCUGUCAUGUGGGAGCAAAUUAAAAAGAUAGUACCACAAGAGGAAGAGACGGCUAACUCUGUGACAGCAGCCGCGGUAAUACAGAGGUCUCAAGCGUUGUUCGGAAUCACUGGGCGUAAAGCGUGCGUAGGCUGUUUCGUAAGUCGUGUGUGAAAGGCGCGGGCUCAACCCGCGGACGGCACAUGAUACUGCGAGACUAGAGUAAGGGAGGGGGAACCGGAAUUCUCGGUGUAGCAGUGAAAUGCGUAGAUAUCGAGAGGAACACUCGUGGCGAAGGCGGGUUCCUGGACAUUAACUGACGCUGAGGCACGAAGGCCAGGGGAGCGAAAGGGAUUAGAUACCCGAGUAGUC
rnacentral:rRNA from 1 species